AGCACGGUGGCGCAGUGGUAGCGCGUUGGGCUCAUAACCCGAAGGUCGAUGGUUCGAAUCCAUCCUGUGCUA
rfam:Nosema bombycis CQ1 unplaced genomic scaffold NBO_64, whole genome shotgun sequence.